rnacentral:rRNA from 1 species
GACGAGGGACCCUAGCGUUGUUCGGAAUCAUUGGGCGUAAAGCGGGUGCAGGUGGCUUUGUAAGUCAGGUGUGAAAGCCCAGGGCUUAACUCUGGAAGUGCAUUUGAUACUGCGAAGCUUGAGUGCUGGAGAGGUAAUUAGAAUCCCUGGUGUAGUGGUGAAAUACGUAGAUAUCAGGGGGAAUACCGGAGGCGAAGGCGGAUUACUGGCCAGACACUGCACUCAUACCCGAAAGCGUGGGGAUCAAACAGG